UACGUAGGGGGGCUAGCGUUGUCCGGAUUUAUUGGGCGUAAAGAGCGUGUAGGCGGCCAGGUAGGUCUGCUGUGAAAACUCGAGGCUCAACCUCGAGACGUCGGCGGAAACCAUCUGGCUAGAGUCCGGAAGAGGAGAGUGGAAUUCCUGGUGUAGCGGCGAAAUGCGCAGAUAUCAGGAGGAACACCAAUUGCGAAGGCAGCUCGCUGGGACGUUUACUGACGCUGAGACGCGAAAAGCGUGGGGGAGCAAAACAGG
rnacentral:rRNA from 1 species